rnacentral:rRNA from 1 species
CUUAAAUUGAAGAGUUUGAUCAUGGCUCAGAUUGAACGCUGGCGGCAGGCCUAACACAUGCAAGUCGAGCGGCAGCGGGAAGUAGUUUACUACUUUGCCGGCGAGCGGCGGACGGGUGAGUAAUGUCUGGGGAUCUGCCUGAUGGAGGGGGAUAACUACUGGAAACGGUAGCUAAUACCGCAUGACCUCGCAAGAGCAAAGUGGGGGACCUUAGGGCCUCACGCCAUCGGAUGAACCCAGAUGGGAUUAGCUAGUAGGUGGGGUAAUGGCUCACCUAGGCGACGAUCCCUAGCUGGUCUGAGAGGAUGACCAGCCACACUGGAACUGAGACACGGUCCAGACUCCUACGGGAGGCAGCAGUGGGGAAUAUUGCACAAUGGGCGCAAGCCUGAUGCAGCCAUGCCGCGUGUGUGAAGAAGGCCUCGGGUUGUAAAGCACUUUCAGCGAGGAGGAAGGGGUUGAGUUUAAUACGCUCAAUCAUUGACGUUACUCGCAGAAGAAGCACCGGCUAACUCCGUGCCAGCAGCCGCGGUAAUACGGAGGGUGCAAGCGUUAAUCGGAAUUACUGGGCGUAAAGCGCACGCAGGCGGUUUGUUAAGUCAGAUGUGAAAUCCCCGCGCUUAACGUGGGAACUGCAUUUGAAACUGGCAAGCUAGAGUCUUGUAGAGGGGGGUAGAAUUCCAGGUGUAGCGGUGAAAUGCGUAGAGAUCUGGAGGAAUACCGGUGGCGAAGGCGGCCCCCUGGACAAAGACUGACG